rnacentral:lncRNA from 1 species
CAGGCUUAAAGAGGGUAAAUUUAGGUUGGAUAUAAGGAAAAAAUCUUCUACAGUGAGGGUGGUGAGACACUGGAACAGGUUGGACAGAGAUGUGGUGGAUGCCCCAUCCAUGGAGACUUUCAAGUGCUACAGGAUGAGCUACAACAGUAAGCCUCCUGACAAGGUCAAACAGGAACCAGAGAACCAGAGACAACUGGAGAGAGACCCUCUUCUACCUGCCAAGUUCCAUGACCGAG